rnacentral:lncRNA from 10 species
UCCGACUCGCCGUCACGCUGAAGUCUCUUUCUUCAAUUAGGUUGCUUGUCUGUCACUCAAGAAGGGGCGGGCACAGCUGCCGGUAGAGGGGAAAAACGCCGGCCGUCCCCGCCCCCCUAGUGGAGGCCUCUUAAAGAAACAGGACGCCAUUCCCCUGCGGGCUACAGGGUCUGAAGGAAGCAGCCGUGUGAUGGAGGGAGCACCGUGAUCCCUUCGCUGCAGAUGAGGAAACUGAGGCUCAGAGAGGGUCCGAGAUCUUACAGCUGGUGAGGGGCAGAGCAAGAUGCCAACCUAUGCCUGUUGGAUUCCAAAGUUUAUACUUUAAUCGUUUGUCUAGCAGAUUCUUACAACAAUCCUGGGAGGUGUGUAUUCAGCUGUCCCUUUGCAGAUAAAGAAACUGAUACUCAGCAAAGAGACGAUGUAGUGACUACCACUUGUAGGCCACUGCGCAGUCUGCAAAGCAGUUUUACAUACGUUGUUUCAUUUGAUCCUCGAAACAUCUUGGAAUUAAAGAUGAUUUUUGUUAGUCCUAUUUUACAGGUGAAUAAAGUGAGGCUUGGGGAGGUUGAGGCUUAGCCAUAGCUAACAUUGCUAAAACUCUGGCAGGAGUUACUCUUUCUCCUUCUCACUGGCUGGACCCAGCCUUGACCUUGUGAUGAUGAUGACGACGUGCUAGGGAACAGAGCUACAGCACAGGAGGUGCCAAAUGCUACCUGCCUACUUGGGACACUCACUUCAUACUCUUAUGUGAAAGCGAAAUGAUCUUCUCCGUUCCUUUUAUUAUUAACUUUGAUAGCAGGGAGGGCUGUUUGAGCCAACCCUGCACUCACACAACACUGAGGAAGAAAGGCUUAAAUUUUGUACCCUGGGUGCCUCAGUUUGCUUCAUCCUAGUCCUGGCUCUGCUUAAUAACACAUUUAUCCAAGGAAUGAAUCACUCACUUGAGAGCUUUACAAGACUGUGUCAUUUUUUUUUCCUGAUAUUGCCAGUGCAGGUUCUUUGAUUGCCAGUCUUAGGAAUCAAUUCUGGCUAACUUUACCCAAAAAAGAUUUUAUUGGCAGGCUAGUGUUUAACUCACAGAGGUAACAGGAAGCUGGAGAAUCAGGCUUAGAAAAGGACAGAAAGUGGAGAUGCUUUGAGAGUUUAGGCAGGCAAGUGAAUCAAUUCCAUGUUUUUCUUCCCUUUCUUGACCAGAGUUUUCUUUGAUGAGUCAAAGUCCCUGGAGCAAGGGUUCGAUUGGCGGAGCUCAGGUAACAUGUCCACACUUUAGCUAAGGAGGGCGGGCAACUUGAUGGACAGCUCCACCAAGACUGCACAGAAGUGCAGAGUUCCAGAUCCCUCUUCCUCCACCUCAGCUGCUCCCAGUGGGCAACUAGGUUCAGGUGCCGUGUUUUCAGGCUGGAAUCAAAUAGGAGGAGUACCUGCAGCUGAAUGUCAUGAUUACACAAAUGCAAUUGUGUCUGGCACGUGGGAGAGGAUAGUAGAGAUUCUGAGCUUUGUAACCUUGCAGACCUUUGUGCUAUUUACCAGCUGUUUGUCCCUGGGUAAGUUACUAGAUCUCUCUGAGCCUGUCUCCUCAUGUGUACAAUGGGGAGAAUAACAGUACCAGCCUUAAUGGAUUGUUGUGAGAAAUGAGAUCACUGUAAAUAUACAACAGUUAGCAAAAUGUCUGCAUUUAAGUGCUCAAUAAAUUGUAAAUUAUAAAAUUUUAAAAUUAUAGUAGGCCUUCCAUAAGUACUUAUUGUGUGAGUGAAUUAUCUACCCCUCUCAGUUCUCUAAUCCAUUUGACUUUUGUUUUUUGUUUUUGAGACAGAGUCUCCCUCUGUCACUCGGGCUGGAGCACAGCAGCAUGAUCUUGGUUCACUGCAACCUCCGCCUCCCAGUUUCAAGAGGUUCUCCUGCCUCAGCCUCCCAAGUAGCUGGGACUACAGGUGUGCACCACCACACCUGGCUAAUUUUUGUAUUUUUAGUAGAGACGGGGUUUCACCAUGUUGGCCAGGCUGGUCUUGAACUCCUGACUUCAAGUGAUCUGCCUGCCUCAGCCUCCCAAAGUGCUGGGAUCACAGGUAUCAGCCACCACACUGGGCAAAUAUGGCCCAUCUUUAGAGUGGUGGGAAGCUUAGAGACAAAAUCUUUACCACGGUCUACAAGACCCUAGAUGAUCUGGCACUUUACUUCUCAGACUUAAUCUAUUCCUACUCUCGCCCUAACUUACUGUUUGAGUCUUACAUACUAAUUUCCCAUUCUGUGAACACACAGUUUCUUCUCAUCUCUGUGCCUUUGCACUUGCUGUUCCCUCUCCUGGAAUGCUCUUCCCCCAGCUCAUCACAUGGCUUCCAUCUUCACUUUAUUCAGGCCAUGCUCUGUUAUCUCCUCUUCCAAGUCUUCCCUGACAGCACUGUCUCCUAUCAUCCAGCCGCUCCACCCUUCUCUUCCCUUAACUUGCUCUAGUCUUCUCCCUAGCACUGCAUGUCAUAUUACUUUGUUUUGUUUUCUGACUUCCCCAUUAGUUGUAAGCUCCAUGAUGGCAGAGAUCUUGACUGUCUUGAUCAUAGCUGUAUCUCUGC